UUGUCACAGAACAUAGCUCAGUUGGUAGAGUAGGAGACUCUCAAUCUCAGGGCCAUGGGUUCAAGCCCCACAUUGGGCAAA